AUGAACGCUGGCGGCGUGCCUAAUACAUGCAAGUCGAGCGAACAGACGAGGAGCUUGCUCCUCUGACGUUAGCGGCGGACGGGUGAGUAACACGUGGAUAACCUACCUAUAAGACUGGGAUAACUUCGGGAAACCGGAGCUAAUACCGGAUAAUAUAUUGAACCGCAUGGUUCAAUAGUGAAAGACGGUUUUGCUGUCACUUAUAGAUGGAUCCGCGCCGGAUUAGCUAGUUGGUAAGGGAACGGCUUACCAAGGCAACGAUGCGUAGCCGACCUGAGAGGGUGAUCGGCCACACUGGAACUGAGACACGGUCCAGACUCCUACGGGAGGCAGCAGUAGGGAAUCUUCCGCAAUGGGCGAAAGCCUGACGGAGCAACGCCGCGUGAGUGAUGAAGGUCUUCGGAUCGUAAAACUCUGUUAUUAGGGAAGAACAAAUGUGUAAGUAACUAUGCACGUCUUGACGGUACCUAAUCAGAAAGCCACGGCUAACUACGUG
rnacentral:rRNA from 1 species